GGCCGGUGCUUUAACAUGAUUAUGCAUGAGUGGAAGAACGAAUCAAUUAAGCUAAGAAACGAAUUCUCUCUCUCUCACGUCCGAAACCACCCAAAACAGAGCAAAACUUCUCCAAACUCUCUCUCACUCCACCGGCCACCAAUCAAGACCAGAACACUUCCUAUAGCUUCGCCUCGACCUUGCGCAGCUGCAGGUGGCAGCCUUGAACCACGACACGGCCACCAGCGGCGGCGGGAAGCUCCGCCCGGUUUGAGCUCGUUUUGGUUCCAAGCUUGAUAUCUCAAGCUACCGGCCAACAAUCCUCACCAAACUUCACCCACGAGCUCGCCUCAACGUCCUGAAGCUCCCAGAAGUGGCCUUGCACGGCGGCGCUACUCGUGGUGGCGGCUGGAAGCCAGACCCGAUCAAAUCGAAAACCGAAGCUUCGAUCGGUAUAUCUCGAGCUGUAGUGCAUCGUUUUGAUUGAUUCUUUUUCCAGUGGGUUCCCCUUGAUGUUGUUAACAACUCUCUAGAAGGCAUCGAGGCCUGAAAUUGAAGUUUUUACGUCGAUCGGAGCCCUCGCCGGAUUCUGCAAAAUUCUGCAAAUUUUCCGACCACCGAAGCUUUCGAUCGGUAUAUCUCGAGCUACAGACCAUAUUUUUCUGUGAUUCUUGAACCAAUGCGUUCGUCUUGAGUUUCUUAACAACUCUCUAGAAGGAAUCGAAGCCUGAAAUUGAAGUUUUGACGUCGAAAUCAAGCCUUGCCGGAUUCUGCAAAUUUCGCCGGAUUCUGGAAAUUUUCCGGCCACCUCGACUGUUCUAGGUUAUCGACGGAUUGAUUUGGUGGACGAUUCGGAUUGAUGUAUUUGGCUUUUUAGAAGACGCAGCUGGAUUAGAGCGGGAAAUCCUACAGGUCAGGAAGAUCAAGGCGGAGAUCGUGCGGGUUAGAGUUUUUGUUUCAGUUUACAGCUUUGUAAAUUGUGAGAUGUAUUAUUAAGAGGUGUGAAGUGUGGUUGUUGUGAGAAAAAAAUUCAGGACGUUUAUUCUAUUAAGUUGUAUAAUUCAUGUUUCGGAUUUUAAUUGUAUUUAAAAUUCGGGGCGUGACAGUUUGGUAUCAGAGCGUAAGGUACAUAUUUGGUGACGUGUCAAUACCUUCCGAGUGAUGGCCCGUCUGCAGCGGAUCCCCAUCGUGCGCUCUUCGGUAUUGGCUAAGUCAUUGGGUAUGUGUGAGUGUUGGAAGUUGUUUAGGCCGCUAAGUCGUUUUAGGAACGUUAACACCUUCCCUGUAGUAUUGACUUGGUUAAUAUGGACUUGUAUUUGACUUAUACUGUGUUUUAAGUGUUAUACGUGUAUUAGCCAAGCAUACUAUAUUUCUUAGGUGUUGAAUAUUCGAAGGAGUAGUACUUAGAACUACAGAGUUGUCUUGUAGGUUCGUAUUUGAAUAAGUUCAGUUACCGCGAGUUAUAAUCUUUAAGGGAUGGAAACCUUCGGAUUUAACUCUAUUGAGUUAGGGUGAUUGUUUUAUGGAAGUGAGGUUCUUUUGGAUGUUGAGGUGUUUGGUUGAAGGCAUGAUGUUGGCCUAUGCACGUACCUAGUGUGGAUACGAGUAUGAAUUGAUGGAAUUUUUGCCUUAUUAGGUUGGAUAUACAGAUGUUUUUGAUUUGAUUCUUGACUCAUGUGGAGUGGUGGGUAGUAUUGCGGUUUGGGAAUGAAUUAUUGUGGUUAAUUCUUCCAUGUGUUUGUAAGUUGAUGAGCAGGGUUUAAGUUGUGAGAAAGGAGUUUGAUCUCGUGUUUGAGUGAUUGAGACGAACGACUAUAUAUUUGAGGUUGUUUUGUGUUUUAAGUUUAUGUAGACGGGACACUUAAAGUUUUGAAAUAGAGUUUGAUUUUUAGUUGAUAGAUAAUGGGGAGAAUUAGAAUCAACUCUUUGUUAAUGAUCUUGGACGAGAGUGUGUUUCUAUGGUUAUGGAUUUUAGGUGAAAUGGUUAAAUACAAUUUUGGGUAUUGAUGAUAGUGACAUGAUUGGGUAUCCAUAGUGGUUCAAGUGAAUUACUAUGCGGUAUGGAGUUGAUUCGAUGUAUGAAUCGUGAAAUCUUAGGGUUGAAUUAUGGUAAGUUUGAUGGAGCAUGUUUUAGAGGGAAUGGUUGAGAUUUUAUAUGACUAGCACGAGUAACUCUAAGGAUGUGAGUUUUCCUAGUUAACUCAGGAAGUGUUUAGCUUUAUUAAUCCCUAAUUCUAGCGACGAAAUUAUUGUGUUUGGUUUGACUCAGAGGAUACUAGCUUGACCUCUGUGCAACUUAAUUGAUUGUUUGUGAUAAAUCAUUAUGAUUGAUGUGUGCAGCAGAGUUGUCAAUGGUUUUGAAAAUAGUAUUGGGUGACCAAGGUUGAUCCUUGGUGUUGUUGUUGGUUUAACAAAAAGAAGAAACGACAUACAUGCACACCAUCUUAUUGAUUUAAUAUUACAAAAAGGAAAUUGGAACUACGCUAUACUAAGCCUAAUUGGUAGCUCCGGAUGGGUUGAGGCUGAGCUCAAGAGAAACGUUAGAGCCACUGUUGUAACCGCCUGAGCCACCAGAAUAGUAACCAAAUGCGCUACCUUCCUCAGAAGUAGUCUUCGGGUUACCAAAGACGUCCUCGCCGUGCACGGGGAACAGAGGAAGAGUUUCAACCUCCUGGUGAUCUCCUCCUCGUUGUUGCAGGGAUGUUUGUCCUCCUGUUGUGCCAAAAGAGUUGUACUGGUAUUAGUGUUGAAGUGUGAGGAAGAAUAUGAAACAAAAUUUAAAUCAAGAAAUCCUUCAUUACCAGUAGAAUAGGUGGAACCAAAGUUGAGAUCAAUGGAUCUACCAUCAUCAGUAGAACUAGUGGACCCAAAAUUGAUGUCAAUGGAUCCACCAGCUGGCCCAAAAUUGAUGUCGAUGGAUCCACCAGCACCAGUAGAACCAGUGGACCCAAAAUUGAGAUCAAUGGAUCCACCAGUACCAGGAGAACUAGUUCCCAUGGGCACUUGAGCAGCCUGAUUGCACCUCUUCAUCUGCUUCUCUCGA